GCCGGUGACUUUUCCCGUGACCCCCACCUAAGGAGGCCCCCCCAGACCCCUCCUGCCUCUGUGAGCCUCCUGCCAGCACCCUCCUGCUUUGUCCUUCUCAGAAUUUCCCCCCUUGCCUUCCCCACCCCCAACCCUCUACCCCCACACCCUGCACACUCACCACAAUCUGUACCUUUAUGUGUUUACUGGCGUGGACUUUCUUUAAUGGCUGCUUUAUUCCUCACCGUCUGCCAGCCAGCACCUUCUACGUGGCUGGUGCGGUGCACUCUCUCAGAGCCUUUGCUCCGGGACGUGCGAAUGAGACAAGGAAACCAUUUCGGUUGCAGGAGUCAACGCUCAGAGAGCUAACACGAUCUCUGGCAUCCGAGAAGCAGUCGGGAAAGAUUUGCUCUUACCAGUAUCCGAAAAAUGCUCUGAGUUGCAGCAGCGAUGGGGGAAGACUUCACGGAGGCGGUGACAUUUGAGCUGAGACUUCGGAGCUGAGUAAGAUUUGCCAGGCAGCAGUGGAGGCUAGUCAGAAUCCAUCAGCGAACGAAAACAUAACAAAGUGGUUGAGAAAAAAAAAACUUUAGAAGUUUAGUCCUAGAACGUAAGUACUGCGACGAGAAAAUAAACCACGUGGAUGGAGGGAUUAUAUCAAUUCGUGGACGGGAAGACCAAACACCGUAAAGAGACACGCGUCUCUCAAGUCAAUCAACAAGUCCCAUUCGAUUCCCGUUAACCCCCCACGGAGUCUUCGUCUCACAAGCGGUCUAGAAUUCAGACAUUUGCGGGGAGUAAUGGAAGGAAAUUGCCCUAUCAGAGUUCAAGGCUUACGAAGUCAUAGUAAUUGGUGCCAUCACUCACUACUGGCAUGGGGACAGAAAAAGUAGGUCACCAGAUUAAAGAGCCUAGAAACGGACCGCGCACGCUCAUAUGGAACCUUGACGUACAAGACAGAUUGAUGGAUAUUCAGUGCCCACUGGCAGCUGUUAGACUAAUUAGUUUUUAGCAGCAGGGAUAUUUGUCUUUCGCUAAACAUGUUGACCACGUAGGAACAGCGUGAUGAUAAUAUCUAAUAAAUUAAUGAACUUAUUUCCC